rnacentral:rRNA from 1 species
GCAGUUGAGCGCUGAGGUUGGUACUUGUACCGACUGGAUGAGCAGCGAACGCGAUUAAGACGCGUGGGGAAUCUGCCUUUGAGCGGGGGACAACCUUUGGAAACGAAUGCUAAUACCGCAUAAAAACUUUAAACACAAGUUUUAAGUUUGAAAGAUGCAAUUGCAUCACUCAAAGAUGAUCCCGCGUUGUAUUAGCUAGUUGGUGAGGUAAAAGCUCACCAAGGCGAUGAUACAUAGCCGACCUGAGAGGGUGAUCGGCCACAUUGGGACUGAGACACGGCCCAAACUCCUACGGGAGGCAGCAGUAGGGAAUCUUCGGCAAUGGACGAAAGUCUGACCGAGCAACGCCGCGUGAGUGAAGAAGGUUUUCGGAUCGUAAAACUCUGUUGGUAGAGAAGAACGUUGGUGAGAGUGGAAAGCUCAUCAAGUGACGGUAACUACCCAGAAAGGGACGGCUAACUACGUGCCAGCAGCCGCGGUAAUACGUAGGUCCCGAGCGUUGUCCGGAUUUAUUGGGCGUAAAGCGAGCGCAGGUGGUUUAUUAAGUCUGGUGUAAAAGGCAGUGGCUCAACCAUUGUAUGCAUUGGAAACUGGUAGACUUGAGUGCAGGAGAGGAGAGUGGAAUUCCAUGUGUAGCGGUGAAAUGCGUAGAUAUAUGGAGGAACACCGGUGGCGAAAGCGGCUCUCUGGCCUGUAACUGACACUGAGGCUCGAAAGCGUGGGGAGCAAACAGGAUUAGAUACCCUGGUAGUCCACGCCGU